rfam:Colletotrichum tofieldiae strain 0861 Ct_v4_contig79, whole genome shotgun sequence.
GCGGACAUAGCUCAGUUGGGAGAGCGUCAGACUGAAGCGGGCUCCAAACGGGGCUUGAGAAACUUCAUUCAAUCAAUCUGAAGGUCGUGUGUUCAAUCCACACUGGCCGCA